CUGUUCCUUGUUAAGUGUGGCAGAUCUCUGGCCUUGUUUUCACGGGCCAGUGUUGAGCCCCGAGCGUCUUCUCCCCUACGAAGCUCGGGGUUUUUUUUGCGCGUUU
rnacentral:sRNA from 1 species